GCCCCUGUGGCGUAAUGGUAACGCGUUGGACUUCUAUACUGGAAUCCAAAGACUGCGGGGUUCGAGCCCCGCCGGGGUG
rnacentral:tRNA from 1 species